rnacentral:rRNA from 1 species
AUACGGAGGGGGUUAGCGUUGUUCGGAAUUACUGGGCGUAAAGCGCACGUAGGCGGACUGGAAAGUUGGGGGUGAAAUCCCGGGGCUCAACCCCGGAACUGCCUCCAAAACUUCCAAUCUAGAGAUCGAGAGAGGUGAGUGGAAUUCCAAGUGUAGAGGUGAAAUUCGUAGAUAUUUGGAGGAACACCAGUGGCGAAGGCGGCUCACUGGCUCGAUACUGACGCUGAGGUGCGAAAGCGUGGGGAGCACACAGGAUUAGAAACCCUAGUAGUCC